UUUGCAGCUACGGGGACAUGGUUCCGUCAACAAUGGUCGGCAAAGUAAUCGGCGGCGUCUGCUCCCUGAGCGGCGUCCUGGUGAUCGCCCUUCCCGUCCCCGUGAUCGUCUCCAAC
rfam:Trichuris muris Edinburgh genomic scaffold, scaffold33